rnacentral:rRNA from 1 species
GUAAGGCCCUUCGGGGUACACGAGCGGCGAACGGGUGAGUAACACGUGGGUGAUCUGCCUCGCACUUCGGGAUAAGCCUGGGAAACUGGGUCUAAUACCGGAUAUGACCAAGGGCUGCAUGGUUUUUGGUGGAAAGAUUUAUCGGUGCGAGAUGGGCCCGCGGCCUAUCAGCUUGUUGGUGGGGUAACGGCCUACCAAGGCGACGACGGGUAGCCGACCUGAGAGGGUGACCGGCCACACUGGGACUGAGACACGGCCCAGACUCCUACGGGAGGCAGCAGUGGGGAAUAUUGCACAAUGGGCGAAAGCCUGAUGCAGCGACGCCGCGUGAGGGAUGACGGCCUUCGGGUUGUAAACCUCUUUCGACAGGGACGAAGCGCAAGUGACGGUACCUGUAGAAGAAGCACCGGCCAACUACGUGCCAGCAGCCGCGGUAAUACGUAGGGUGCGAGCGUUGUCCGGAAUUACUGGGCGUAAAGAGCUUGUAGGCGGUUUGUCGCGUCGUCUGUGAAAACUCACAGCUCAACUGUGAGCUUGCAGGCGAUACGGGCAGACUUGAGUACUUCAGGGGAGACUGGAAUUCCUGGUGUAGCGGUGAAAUGCGCAGAUAUCAGGAGGAACACCGGUGGCGAAGGCGGGUCUCUGGGAAGUAACUGACGCUGAGAAGCGAAAGC